UACGGAGGGUGUGAGCGUUAAUCGGAAUCACUGGGCGUAAAGCGCGCGUAGGCGGCUUUUCAAGUCAGGGGUGAAAUCCCACGGCCCAACCGUGGAACUGCCUUUGAAACUGUAGAGCUUGAGUGUCGGAGAGGGUGGCGGAAUUCCAGGUGUAGGAGUGAAAUCCGUAGAUAUCUGGAGGAACACCGGUGGCGAAGGCGGCCACCUGGACGACAACUGACGCUGAGGUGCGAAAGCGUGGGUAGCAAACAGG
rnacentral:rRNA from 1 species